AGAGCGAACGCUGGCGGCAUGCUUAACACAUGCAAGUCGCACGGGCAUUUCGGUGUCAGUGGCGGACGGGUGAGUAACGCGUAGGUAUCUAUCCUUGGGUGGGGGAUAACGGUUGGAAACGACUGCUAAUACCGCAUGAUAACUGAGGUUUAAAGGCGCAAGUCGCCUGGGGAGGAGCCUGCGUACGAUUAGCUUGUUGGUGGGGUAAAGGCCUACCAAGGCGACGAUCGUUAGCUGGUCUGAGAGGAUGAUCAGCCACAUUGGGACUGAGACACGGCCCAAACUCCUACGGGAGGCAGCAGUGGGGAAUAUUGGACAAUGGGCGAAAGCCUGAUCCAGCAAUGCCGCGUGUGUGAAGAAGGUCUUCGGAUUGUAAAGCACUUUCGACAGGGACGAUGAUGACGGUACCUGUAGAAGAAGCCCGGCUAACUUCGUGCCAGCAGCCGC
rnacentral:rRNA from 1 species